CACGAGGCGCGGCUGUCACAGCGGCACGCAGACAGAGGGGAAGGUAAACUCCCGACUCGAACAAAGGUUGACUGCGUGUCCUUUAGAAAACAAAACGAUUGGAUCCCAUUAAAGGAGUUUUUCACCACAAGCAUGUAGCUGCUCAUCAAACAGGUGAGCAUCAUUUUAGUUAACAUUCAGCUCUAAGAAUUGUACACAUUAAUGGAAUCUACUGUAAGUGUAUAGCAUCUCUUAUGCGGCCUAUCUAUUCACCUGCAAAGGAGGAGCCUCUGUCUUAACCUCCAUCAUCCCAGUGCAAGCCAUACAGGCUUUGAAUUAAUGAGCUGUAACAUCUGUGGUAGCACCAUCUCGGUAAUGGAGCGUGAACUGAGCAAGUUCACAUCAUCUCGGUGUGAGCAAAAGAGCCCAGAGAAACCGGGUAUGUUUGGAAAUAAAGACGGAUGGGGAUUGGAGUUUUUGAUGGGCAAAUGUAUUGGUACACCAGGCUAUAUAAAGAUCCUUAAUUACAAUUAGAGAGUUUUAAGUAAGGGGUGAACACAUUUCUUUCAGGGUGAUUACACUAUAAUUAUAGUACUUGCAUGUUUUUCUUGAUAUAGGUACAAAUUAAGUAUUCUAUUGAUUCCUUUUAUAUACUAAAUAAUGAUUGUAAUUCUGAUGCAGGACUGACUUCACUGCUCUCAAACAGACUUCUAAAAGGCAAUUAAAAAACAAAAAAACAAACAUGAAAUGCAAAAUCCGUAACAAUU